AUGAACGCUGGCGGCGUGCCUAAUACAUGCAAGUCGAGCGAACAGACGAGGAGCUUGCUCCUCUGACGUUAGCGGCGGACGGGUGAGUAACACGUGGAUAACCUACCUAUAAGACUGGGAUAACUUCGGGAAACCGGAGCUAAUACCGGAUAAUAUAUUGAACCGCAUGGUUCAAUAGUGAAAGACGGUUUUGCUGUCACGUAUAGAGGGAUCCGCGCCGCAUUAGCUAGUUGGUAAGGUAACGGCUUACCAAGGCAACGAUGCGUAGCCGACCUGAGAGGGUGAUCGGCCACACUGGAACUGCGACACGGUCCAGACUCCUACGGGAGGCAGCAGUAGGGAAUCUUCCGCGAUGGGCGAAAGCCUGACGGAGCAACGCCGCGUGAGUGGUGAAGGUCUUCGGAUCGUAAAACUCUGUUAUUAGGGAAGAACAAAUGUGUAAGUAACUAUGCACGUCUUGACGGUACCUAAUCAGAAAGCCACGGCUAACUACGUG
rnacentral:rRNA from 1 species